rnacentral:lncRNA from 1 species
UGCGUGAUUUUUACAUCAUUUCGAACACCAUUUCUUCCUCUAUAGAUUGACCGGAAUAAAACACCCAACAGCAAUGUGAGCCAGAGUAGCCGCCGCACCAGAGAGGCCCGCCACCGAUGAGUUUCAAUUUUUUGUAAUUUUUUCAGCCAACCGAGGCCCCUUAACAUGUUUUCUCAUAGGGAUCAAUGCAAAAUCGGCCAAAUUCGACCAAAAAUAGCCAAAAACAGCCGACCCGAGGCAGACUGCUGCUGCGGGCGGCAACGCUGUCGCUGGAUCACAGC